GAUGAACGCUGGCGGCGUGCCUAAUACAUGCAAGUCGAGCGAACAGACGAGGAGCUUGCUCCUCUGACGUUAGCGGCGGACGGGUGAGUAACACGUGGAUAACCUACCUAUAAGACUGGGAUAACUUCGGGAAACCGGAGCUAAUACCGGAUAAUAUAUUGAACCGCAUGGUUCAAUAGUGAAAGACGGUUUUGCUGUCACUUAUAGAUGGAUCCGCGCCGCAUUAGCUAGUUGGUAAGGUAACGGCUUACCAAGGCAACGAUGCGUAGCCGACCUGAGAGGGUGAUCGGCCACACGGGAACUGAGACACGGUCCAGACUCCUACGGAAGGCAGCAGUAGGGAAUCUUCCGCAAUGGGCGAAAGCCUGACGGAGCAACGCCGCGUGAGUGAUGAAGGUCUUCGGAUCGUAAAACUCUGUUAUUAGGGAAGAACAAAUGUGUAAGUAACUAUGCACGUCUUGACGGUACCUAAUCAGAAAGCCACGGCUAACUACGUG
rnacentral:rRNA from 1 species